rnacentral:rRNA from 1 species
CCUUGACUCUGGGAUAACCCCGGGAAAAUGGGUCUAAUACUGGAUGCUACAUGUCACCGCAUGGUGGUGUGUGGAAAGGGUUUACUGGUCUUGGAUGGGCUCACGGCCUAUCAACUUGUUGGUGAGGUAAUGGCUCACCAAGGCGACGACGGGUAGCCGGGCUGAGAGGGUGACCGGACACACUGGGACUGACACACGGCCCAGACUCCUACGGGAGGCAGCACUGGGGAAUAUUGCACAAUGGGCGAAAGCCUGAUGCAGCGACGCCGCGUGAGGGAUGACCGCCUUCGGGUUGUAAACCUCUUUCAGCAGGGAAGAAGCCACAAGUGACGGUACCUGCAUAACAAGCGCCGGCUAACUACCUGCCACCAGCCGCGGUAAUACGUAGGGCGCAAGCGUUGUCCGGAAUUAUUGGGCGUAAAGAGCUCGUAGGCGGUUUGUCGCGUCUGCUGUGAAAGCCCGGGGCUUAACCCCGGGUGUGCAGUGGAUACGGGCAGACUAGAGUGCAGUAGGGGAGACUGGAAUUCCUGGUGUAGCUUGUGGAAUGCGCAGAUAUCAGGAGGAACACCGAUGGCGAAGGCAUGUCUCUGGGCUGUUACUGACGCUGAUGAGC